rnacentral:rRNA from 1 species
UACGUAGGGCGCAAGCGUUUAUCCGGAAUUAUUGGGCGUAAAGAGCUCGUAGGCGGUUUGUCGCGUCUGCCGUGAAAGUCCGGGGCUCAACUCCGGAUCUGCGGUGGGUACGGGCAGACUAGAGUGAUGUAGGGGAGACUGGAAUUCCUGGUGUAGCGGUGAAAUGCGCAGAUAUCAGGAGGAACACCGAUGGCGAAGGCAGGUCUCGUGGCAUUAACUGACGCUGAGGAAGCGGAAAGCAUGGGAGCGAACAGG